UCGAGCGGACUUCUUAGCUUGCUUUUGAGAUCAGCGGCGGACGGGUGAGUAACACGUGGGCAACCUGCCUGUAAGACUGGGAUAACUUCGGGAAACCGGAGCUAAUACCGGAUAAUCCUUUCCCUCACAUGAGGGAAAGCUGAAAGACGGUUUCGGCUGUCACUUACAGAUGGGCCCGCGGCGCAUUAGCUAGUUGGUGAGGUAACGGCUCACCAAGGCAACGAUGCGUAGCCGACCUGAGAGGGUGAUCGGCCACACUGGGACUGAGACACGGCCCAGACUCCUACGGGAGGCAGCAGUAGGGAAUCUUCCGCAAUGGACGAAAGUCUGACGGAGCAACGCCGCGUGAACGAUGAAGGCUUUCGGGUCGUAAAGUUCUGUUGUUAGGGAAGAACAAGUACCGGAGUAACUGCCGGUACCUUGACGGUACCUAACCAGAAAGCCACGGCUAACUACGUGCCAGCAGCCGCGGUAAUACGUAGGUGGCAAGCGUUGUCCGGAAUUAUUGGGCGUAAAGCGCGCGCAGGCGGUUCCUUAAGUCUGAUGUGAAAGCCCCCGGCUCAACCGGGGAGGGUCAUUGGAAACUGGGGAACUUGAGUGCAGAAGAGGAGAGCGGAAUUCCACGUGUAGCGGUGAAAUGCGUAAAGAUGUGGAGGAACACCAGUGGCGAAGGCGGCUCUCUGGUCUGUAACUGACGCUGAGGCGCGAAAGCGUGGGGAGCGAACAGGAUUAGAUACCCUGGUAGUCCACGCCGUAAACGAUGAGUGCUAAGUGUUAGAGGGUUUCCGCCCUUUAGUGCUGCAGCAAACGCAUUAAGCACUCCGCCUGGGGAGUACGGCCGCAAGGCUGAAACUCAAAGGAAUUGACGGGGGCCCGCACAAGCGGUGGAGCAUGUGGUUUAAUUCAAAGCAACGCGAAGAACCUUACCAGGCCUUGACAUCCUCUGACAACCCUAGAGAUAGGGCGUUCCCCUUCGGGGGACAGAGUGACAGGUGGUGCAUGGUUGUCGUCAGCUCGUGUCGUGAGAUGUUGGGUUAAGUCCCGCAACGAGCGCAACCCUUGAUCUUAGUUGCCAGCAUUCAGUUGGGCACUCUAAGGUGACUGCCGGGUGACA
rnacentral:rRNA from 2 species